UACGUAGGGUGCGAGCGUUAAUCGGAAUUAUUGGGCGUAAAGAGCUCGUAGGCGGUCUGUCGCGUCUGCUGUGAAAACUCAGGGCUUAACCCUGAGCUUGCAGUGGGUACGGGCAGACUAGAGUGUGGUAGGGGAGACUGGAAUUCCUGGUGUAGCGGUGAAAUGCGCAGAUAUCAGGAGGAACACCGGUGGCGAAGGCGGGUCUCUGGGCCGAUACUGACGCUGAGGAGCGAAAGCGUGGGGAGCGAACAGG
rnacentral:rRNA from 1 species